rnacentral:rRNA from 1 species
GACAGAGGUGCCGAGCGUUUAGGCGGAAUCACUGGACUUAAAGCGUGUGUAGGCGGGUCGUUAAGUGUCUUGUGAAAUCCCACCGCUCAACGGUGGAACUGCUGGGCAUACUGGCGAUCUUGAGCCACCUAGGGGCAGACGGAACAAGCGGUGGGAGCGGUGAAAUGCGUAGAUAUCGCUUGGAACGCCGACGGUGAAAACAGUCUGCUGGGGGUGUGCUGACGCUGAGACACGAAAGCCAGGGGAGCGAACGGG